AUAGCAUAUCAAUAAGCGGAGGAAAAGAAACUAACAAGGAUUCCCCUAGUAACUGCGAGUGAAGCGGGAAAAGCUCAAAUUUAAAAUCUGGCGGUCUUUGGCUGUCCGAGUUGUAGUCUGGAGAAGUGUUUUCCGCGCUGGACCGUGUACAAGUCUCUUGGAAUAGAGCGUCAUAGAGGGUGAGAAUCCCGUCUUUGACAUGGACUACCAGUGCUUUGUGAUGCGCUCUCAAAGAGUCGAGUUGUUUGGGAAUGCAGCUCAAAAUGGGUGGUGAAUUCCAUCUAAAGCUAAAUAUUGGCGAGAGACCGAUAGCGAACAAGUACCGUGAGGGAAAGAUGAAAAGCACUUUGGAAAGAGAGUUAAACAGUACGUGAAAUUGCUGAAAGGGAAACGCUUGAAGUCAGUCGCGUCAUUCAGAACUCAGCCCGGCUUUUUUGCUUGGUGUAUUUUCUGCUUGACGGGCCAGCAUCAAUUUUGGCUGCUGGAAAAAGGCCGGGGGAAUGUGGCACCUUUUGGUGUGUUAUAGCCCUUGGUCAUAUACAGCAGCUGGGAUUGAGGACCGCAGCACGCCUUUAUGGUUGGGGUUCGCCCACAUUCGUGCUUAGGAUGCUGGCGUAAUGGCUUUAAACGACCCGUCUUGAAACACGGACCAAGGAGUCUAACAUGCCUGCGAGUAUUUGGGUGGCAAACCCGAGUGCGCAAUGAAAGUGAAAGUUGGGAUCUCUGUCGUGGAGAGCACCGACGCCCGGACCAGACCUUUUGCGACGGCUCCGCGGUUGAGCAUGUAUGUUGGGACCCGAAAGAUGGUGAACUAUGCCUGAAUAGGGUGAAGCCAGAGGAAACUCUGGUGGAGGCUCGUAGCGAUUCUGACGUGCAAAUCGAUCGUCAAAUUUGGGUAUAGGGGCGAAAGACUAAUCGAACCAUCUAGUAGCUGGUUCCUGCCGAGUCCCCCUUAAGGAU
rnacentral:rRNA from 1 species